rnacentral:rRNA from 1 species
GACCUCAUCUCAAGCGGGAUCACGCCCUAAACUUAAGCAUAUUAAUCAGGGCAGGAAAGGAAACCAAACGGGACUCCCUUAGUAACUGCGAGUGAAGAGGGACCAGCCCAGGCUGAAUCCAAUACCCCAGGGUAGCGGAGUUGUGGCCUUUGACUUGGGUAGACAGCUAUGGAUCGCAUGGGAAGUUCCCUGAAAUGGGACGCUCUAGAGGGUUACAGCCCCGUAGCAUGCCGAACCGUGGCGAACGUCCUAAGUUUAGAGUCAGGCUGUUUGAGAGUACAGCCUAAAGUGGGAGGUACGCUCCUCCUAAGGCUAAGUAUAAGGUAGGAAUCCGAUAGCACACAAGUACCGCGAGGGAAAGAUGCAAAGUACUCUGAAGAGAGAGUUAAAAGUACCUGAAAUCGUAUUGGGGGAAGCGUUUGGGGGAGUCACUAUGCGCGCUGCCUUUCAUCGGGCCAUGCUGCGUGCUGCGGUUCGCGGAGGUGCUUACGGGUAUCCUGUGGGCUGUAGAUGUCGUAGUGGGGCACGAGCAUUUAGGUAGUGUGCUCUCGGUUUGGGUUGCGGCUUAGGGAAAAAGGUCUGUAGUAAGGUACCUGGCUUCCAGGGAUGUCUGCGGAUUUAAUACCUUUGCCUCGACCAAGGACCCAAGGGGGUAUAGCUGGGGCCGCAAGGCAGAGUAGGUGGGAAUGGACUGUGUUGUAUGGGCUGGUUACAGCUUGCUGUGGCUGGUCUAUGCGGCGCUAUCGGUCUUACCGCUACUCUCAGCUUCAAGAAACCGGGUCACGACGACCCUAACCGUCCCGUCUUGUAACACGGACCAAGGAGUCUAACAUAUGCGCGAGUCUAAAGGUAGUAAACCUGCGAGGCGUAAUGAAAGUGAUUUGGGUGAUGCGGAGUUCUCGGACUAUGCUGCAACCCGCACCGACCUUGACCCACGAGUGAUAGGUUUGAGUGGGAGCGUAUCUGUUAGGACCCGAAAGGUAGCGAACUAUGCCUGUAUAGAAUGAAGUCAGAAGAAAUUCUGAUGGAGGUUCGUAGCGGUACUGACGUGCAAAUCGUUCGUCAAAUAUGGGUAUAGCGGCGAAAGACUAAUCGAGCUGCCGAGUAGCUGGUUCCGCCCGAAGUUUCCCUCAGGAUAGCUUGAGCUUGGUAAAUAGCUGCAUCGGGUAAAGCGAAUGAUUAGAGGAAUUUGGAUGGAAACCGUCUAGACCUAUUCUCAAACUUUGAAUUGGUGCGCAAUCUAAGGUGCUUAAUUGACCUUGGAGGUGGAGUUAUGGGCUCAUAGCGGGCCGUAUCUGGUAAGCAGAUCUGGCGAUGCGGGAUGAACCGAACGGGGAGUUAAAGUGUCCGAAUACACGCUUAUCAGACCCCACAAACGUUGUUGGCUCAUUUUGACAGCAGGACGGUGGCCAUGGAAGUCGGAACCCGCUCAGGAGUGUGUAACAACUCACCUGCCGAAUGAGUCAGCGCGGAAAAUGGAUGACGCUCAAGCGUGUUACUUAUACUUCCCUGCUGAGGCAGGCUUGGCCUCAGCAAGUAGGGUGGCGUAGAGGUAGCGCAGAAGCUUCUGGGAGUAAUCCUAAGUGGAGCUGCCUCUAGUGCAGAUCUUGGUGGUAGUAGCAAGUACUCAAGUGAGAACCUUGAGGACUGAAGUGGAGAAAGGUUCCAUGAGAACAGCAAUUGGUCAUGGGUUAGUCGGUCCUAAGACCUAGGUUAACACCGUAUAAAGGGAGGUCGGCAUCUGUCGUUAAUAUCCUUCCCUUUCAGGUCGAAAGGGAACCAGGUUAAUAUUCCUGGACCUUAGCUCAGGGUAUAGGCGGCAACGCGAACUAACUACGGGACGCUUGGAUGGACCCCAGGGAGAGUUCUCUUCUCUUCUUAAUACGCUGGGCACCUUCGAAUCGCGUUGAGCGGAGACAAGGUACUUGGUGUGGUAGAGUAUCCCAUCUUCAGGGAUAUCUGGUGCGCUCAUCACAGCCCUUGAAAACCGUAGGGAGGGAGAUACCUUUAGUUAAGUCCGUACUGAUAACCGCAUCAGGUCUCCAAGGUUAGUAGCCUCUAGUCUCUAGUAUAAUGUAGGUAAGGGAAGUCGGCAAAAUAGAUCCGUAACUUAGGGAAAAGGAUUGGCUCUGAAGGAUAGGUUUAGAGGCCUGCGGCUUGAAGCGUGGUGCUUGCUGGAACUGAGGCUGGCUCGCAAGGGCUGGCUGCGGGUCUAGCGAGGUCAUGAAUAUGGCUGCGGGACGCUUGGGCGGCUUGCUGACCUGGGCUUACUCUGGGCGAUUAAUAUCCGAUUCAGAACUGUCACGGACAAGGGGAAUCCGACUGUUUAAUUAAAACAAAGCAUUGCGAUGGUCCUCAAGGAUGUUGACGCAAUGUGAUUUCUGCCCAGUGCUCUGAAUGUCAAAGUGGAGAGAUUCAACCAAGCGCGGGUAAACGGCGGGAGUAACUAUGACUCUCUUAAGGUAGCCAAAUGCCUCGUCAUCUAAUUAGUGACGCGCAUGAAUGGAUUAACGAGAUUCCCACUGUCCCUAUCUACUAUCUAGCGAAACCACAGCCAAGGGAACGGGCUUGGCAGAAUCAGCGGGGAAAGAAGACCCUGUUGAGCUUGACUCUAGUCUGAUCUUGUGAUUUGUCUUUAGGGGUGUAGCAUAGGCGGGAGGGGAACCGAACUUGAAAUACCGCUAC